ensembl:lncRNA novel transcript
GGGAAAUUGCGAAAUCAUCCAGUUGGGAUCACCGAGCCUGCAGGGUCCCCUUCCUGGGCGAGCCUCCUGGCCCCGUGCUAUCGGAGGCCUGGACACCCCCGCCAGGGACCCAGCGACCCAGCAAGUCCCCACCCCCUCUAAGGGCGACCUGGGCCUCGGGGUGAGAGGUCUCCUACACUAAAAAGGCUGCCGCCCUUCAAUCCUAGACCCCGAGAUUCCUUUCACUCGGGAAAUCUCGUAAUGGCAUCCAUUGUCAUUUUGAUCUUUAUGCCGAAUUUCUAGCUCCUGCGUCUCCAUUGCCGGUCCUAAAAGUCGCCGUUUCACUAAGCUUCGGAACCUGACUCCGAGAAAUCUAUUCGUUCGUCCCAAGAUCUCAGCCAGAAAGAGAAAUCCGCGCGGCGGCCUCUUCUAGCUCGGGUGCUGGGAGGCCCCGUCCUGAUCCUCUGUCGCCCUGGCCGAUCUCCCUCAGGGCCACGGGGAAGAGGAACCUGAGCAGCUCUGAGGGGCGAGUCUCUGACGGUGGGGCUCCCCCUCGUCCUGCCAGGACCCUGCCCCAAGGAGAAGACCCCUUAGGACGUUACCAGAUUUAAACAAUGUUUUCUCCUGCUCUUCAGAGCACCUGGGAUAAGGUUCCUGAUGGGUCUUGGGAGCAAACUAACAUGUCGCUCCAGGCGCUCAAGACCAUCCCUCUGAUUUUCAUAUUUUGGGGCUGAGAGCGUUUAAGAAGGACUGAAAAACGCUGCAGUCUUUGAGGGGCUAAGUUUGGAGGAUGCGGGAGUGGGAGAGGAUGCCUUCUUGGCUCCUUGGAGUGGACUGGCAGGUAAGGAAACACAAACUCCGUUUCCCCUUGCAGGCUGGACUGCAGGGCCUGGGAUGGAAAAUUGGACAGUCAAAGAGUAACAGUAUUUAUGUAGAGGUUGGCUGCAUUCAUUAAAAAUUGUUAUCCCUACGGAUAAGUGUAGGAAGGGACCAGGGCACUGCCGUUCACCACCAGCUUUGCAGCAUAUGUGACUUUGAAAACAGUGUAUAGUGCAUAAAAAUUCAUCCCUCUUUACAAAUAAUUGAUCACAACCAGUUACAGAUUUUUUUGUUCCUUCUCCACUUCCACUGCUUCACUUGACUAGCCUUAUAGGAAAAAAAGUUAUUUGUAAAUAUGAUAUUGUUUCAGUUGAUCCUCAGCCCGCCCGUUCCCCACCCCCUGAAAGUAGCUGGAACAACAGGUGUGCACCGUGUGCUGGGCUCAUUUUUGUAUUUUUAGUAAGGAUUGCCUUUUGCCAUAUUGUCCAGGCAGCUCUCGAAUGCCUGGACUCAAGUGAUCCGCCUGCCUGGGCCUUCCUGCUCCUCCCUGCUGGGAUUACAGCUGUGAACCACCCCACUUGGCCAUCAAUUGUAUUUUGAAUUUAAAUGUUUUAUAGUCAUCAUUCUUCAAAUAUUCUUGGUUUUGUUGCAUGUGCAUGAUGGGGUUCAGGACAUGCUACCCCAAAAUAUAACAUCUUGGGGUAUUGAAUAUUUUAUGUUAAGGGAAUUUGAAUAAACAAUAGAAGCAGGAAGGUCACUGUCACCCUCCCCCUGCCCUUCUUUCCUGAAGUCGAUUAUAGACCCUUAUGUGAGAUGUUCCCUCUCUGUACCCAGAGGAAAGGUGCAUCCUGGAGUCUGAAGACACAGGGACACAGAGAAGAGCCUGAACACAGAGGCCUGGCCCCGUUUUCCCCAGUUUGUUACUGUUAGAUCAUACUUUUAUUGUCUUAUCAUACUUCUCCAUGACUAUCCAUUCUUCAAUAAAACUACUCUUAAAAAACAAACAAACAAACAAAAAACUGAGGUUUAGCUGUUUCCAUGGGCCUUCAUUUCCUUUGGAAGGCAUUCCUGUCAUGUAAAACUUACAUUAAAUAAAUAC